rnacentral:misc_RNA from 1 species
GAGGAUUUAAGUGAAGAAGAGUCUAGUAAUGACAAUGUAAGCUCUAGCAAACCUCAUGUGCCAAGCAAGGAGUUGAGGAGGAGACAGAUGAAACUCUCGGACCCAAUAAACCAGAUUUCAUUGGAGAACUCAGUGAUAGACAAUCUUCAAACUUGUUCAUCUCUUCAUGGGGAAUCCUUUAAUGCAGUCAUUGGUAGAUUGCACCCUUCAGUACUCAAUCAAUUAAAACAAGCAUUGAAGAUGCCAUGAGUUAAAUAGUGGGCGUCAAUUCUUGAUGUUAUUUUCUAAGUUGGUCUUUUGAGUUCAAUGAUCUCACCAAGGCGUAAGAAAGGUCUCACCUAGAAGCAUGCUGCUGCGUCGUUAUUCAUGAAGUUCCAUUUUUUUUGCCCCUAUUGUUUGGCUGGAUUGUUGUUGUCCUGGGUGGGUUGUUUUGCCCUAGUUGUGCAGGGGGAGAGAGGAGGUGUUGCUAUUAAGGGCAUUCUCCACUUAGCCACCCAAUUUUUCUCCCCAUUCGUUCGGGGUGCGAGCUUGUGUUGUAAAUAGCAUGAUCCUCUCAUGUCGUGGUUUUUAAGGCAUAAAGGAUCAGAGCUUGAGGUUGUAAUACUGGAUAGUGUGCAGUCACCAUUUGCUCAAAGCAGGAAAUAGGGACCAAUGACAAUUCAAACGGCAUUUACUAACUAUUCUAGUUAUUGCGCUUGUGGCUUUUUGAAUUUUA